rnacentral:misc_RNA from 1 species
UUCUAGGGUUAUUUGUCAAAAAAUUCUUUAAGUUUAGUAAUUUUUGUAAUUAAAUUCUCAAGUUUGUAUAAUUGUUAAUUGAAUUUUUUAUAUUUAAUUGAUGUCUUAAAUUGAUCAAAUUGUUCUAAUAUAACAUCUACACUGAUAAUAUGGCAGUUCAACUCCUAUUAAGUAUACGAAUGGAUUUUUGAUAGUUUGAUCAAUUUGUGAUAUCAAUUAAACAUGAGGA